rnacentral:rRNA from 1 species
GGCGACUGACCGGGAAGAGCCCAGCGCAUAACCACGUGUCCUAACCCGGCACGAGGGGUGUUGCGUUUCGGAGGGUCCAGCACGCCGUGCCAUACCGUCUAAGUCGAACAUGAAGGAGGCCACUACCCAGGGAGGGUGAGAGGCCCGUGUGGCGGCGCCCGUGAGGGUAGAGAUGGCGGCGGUCGGAAAGGGCCUCUCCGUAGAGUCGGGUUGCUUGAUAGUGCAGCCCAAAGCAGGUGGUAAACUCCAUCUAAGGCUAAAUAUGACCACGAGACCGAUAGCGAACAAGUACCGUGAGGGAAAGUUGAAAAGAACUUUGAAGAGAGAGUUCAAGAGUACGUGAAACCGUUAAGAGCCAAACGGAUGGAACCUCGAAGGUCGAAUCGAGGGCAUUCAGCUCGUCGGCAGGCGCUGCUGGGGGUGGAGUUAUCGUUAAGUCGGAGCGAACCAAGAGAGCUUGGGACGCGCUCACCCCCACGCGGGCGUCGGCGAGCGUAUUUCCCUCGUAGUAGGGCGCCGCGACCCGUUGGUGGGGACGUCGAAGGCCCCGUGCGGACUGGUACCCCGCCUCCGACCGGCCCCUCGUGGCCGUGGGAAGAGGCGGGCGAAACCGCCGGGGAUCCUGGCGGCCCUGCGACGGUCGUAGAGACGAGACGGCGGGGCCCGUAGGGGCUCCUCCGGCUCUCGCGGCGUGCAAACAGUCCGGUGACCCAUCCGACCCGUCUUGAAACACGGACCAAGGAGUCUAACAUGUGUGCGAGUCAAUGGGCGAACUAAACCCACAGGCGCAAUGAAAGUGACAGGCCCGCCGGCGCGCCGCGUCGUUCCAUGUCGCGUGCGCCGGCGCCGGGGCCGAUCCCCCGCCGGCUGCGCCCGCCGGCCAACCCCCGUGAGGGGGCGUCCUUGGAAGCGCAUAAGCGUGAGAUACCCUGCCCCGCAGGGGGGGCGCAGGCCCGGGGACUUACCAGACACCGCCAGGCCGCCGCUCAGCGGGCGCCGGCCAUCACGCGUGCCGUCGGCAAGUACCACGAGCAGGCAUGUUGGGACCCGAAAGAUGUUGAACUAUGCCUGGCCAGGAUGAAGCCAGAGGAAACUCUGGUGGAGGUCGGNAGGGUUUCUGACGUGCAAAUCGAUCGUCUGAGCUGGGUAUAGGGGCGAAAGACUAAUCGAACCAUCUAGUAGCUGGUUCCCUCUGAAGUUUCCCUCAGGAUAGCUGGAACACGAGGAGAUGAAUUUCAUCCGGUAAAGCGAAUGAUUAGAGGUCUUGGGGACGAAACGUCCUCAACCUAUUCUCAAACUUUAAAUGGGUGAGAUGCCGAGCUUGCUUGCAUGGUGAAGCUCCGGCGACUAAUCUAUGUGUACCUAGUGGGCCAUUUUUGGUAAGCAGAACUGGCGCUGUGGGAUGAACCAAACGUCGAGUUAAGGGGCCUAAAUGAAUGCCCAUUCAGAUCCCAUCGAAAGGCGUUGGUUGCUAUAGACAGCAGGACGGUGGCCAUGGAAGUUGGAAUCCGCUAAGGAGUGUGUAACAACUCACCUGCCGAAGCAACUAGCCCUGAAAAUGGUAUGGCGCUCGAGCAUUCUCUCGAUACUCGACCGCCGGGGCACUAGCGGCCACGCUCCCGAGGCGAGGUCUCGAAGCCCCGGUGAGUAAGAGGGUCGCAGUGGUGAGCGCUGAAGGGGUCCGGCGUGAGCCGGCCUGGAGCCGCCACUGGUGCAGAUCUUGGUGGUAGUAGCAAAUAUUCGAGAGAGACUCCCUUGAAGACCGAGGUGGAGAAGGGUUCCAUGUGAACAUCAGUUGGACAUGGGUUAGUCGCUCCUAAGCCCAAGGCUAAGGCCUGAUCCCACGCUAGCGGCAACGGCCAACGAACGCGGCGGCGGCGGCGGGGAAGCACCCCCCAAGAACACCUCGCUCUGCGUUGCGUUGCCCGGGGAUCAGUGGCGAAAGGGAAUACGGUAAUUAUUCCGUAACCAGGACUCGGACACCGAGCAGGCGCAGAACGUCCCCAUGCAUGCGGGUGUCUGUGCCCUGCGGAGGAACCCGGUAACGGGAACCAGCUCGCGUCCACCGGCGGUGGUCCGGGAAAGAGUUUUCUUUUCUGUUUAAGGCGCCGUGACCCUGGAAGCCAUUGGCCGAGAGAAAGGGUGUUGGUAACACGGUUUGCCGUAGAGCGCCGCGAUUCUUG